UUAGUGGCGAACGGGUGAGUAACACGUGAGUAACCUGCCCUUGACUCUGGGAUAAGCCUGGGAAACUGGGUCUAAUACCGGAUACGACCAUCUGGCGCAUGUCAUGGUGGUGGAAAGCUUUUGUGGUUUUGGAUGGACUCGCGGCCUAUCAGCUUGUUGGUGGGGUAAUGGCCUACCAAGGCGACGACGGGUAGCCGGCCUGAGAGGGUGACCGGCCACACUGGGACUGAGACACGGCCCAGACUCCUACGGGAGGCAGCAGUGGGGAAUAUUGCACAAUGGGCGCAAGCCUGAUGCAGCGACGCCGCGUGAGGGAUGACGGCCUUCGGGUUGUAAACCUCUUUCAGUAGGGAAGAAGCGAAAGUGACGGUACCUGCAGAAGAAGCGCCGGCUAACUACGUGCCAGCAGCCGCGGUAAUACGUAGGGCGCAAGCGUUAUCCGGAAUUAUUGGGCGUAAAGAGCUCGUAGGCGGUUUGUCGCGUCUGCUGUGAAAGACCGGGGCUCAACUCCGGUUCUGCAGUGGGUACGGGCAGACUAGAGUGCAGUAGGGGAGACUGGAAUUCCUGGUGUAGCGGUGAAAUGCGCAGAUAUCAGGAGGAACACCGAUGGCGAAGGCAGGUCUCUGGGCUGUAACUGACGCUGAGGAGCGAAAGCAUGGGGAGCGAACAGGAUUAGAUACCCUGGUAGUCCAUGCCGUAAACGUUGGGCACUAGGUGUGGGGGACAUUCCACGUUUUCCGCGCCGUAGCUAACGCAUUAAGUGCCCCGCCUGGGGAGUACGGCCGCAAGGCUAAAACUCAAAGGAAUUGACGGGGGCCCGCACAAGCGGCGGAGCAUGCGGAUUAAUUCGAUGCAACGCGAAGAACCUUACCAAGGCUUGACAUGAACCGGAAAGACCUGGAAACAGGUGCCCCGCUUGCGGUCGGUUUACAGGUGGUGCAUGGUUGUCGUCAGCUCGUGUCGUGAGAUGUUGGGUUAAGUCCCGCAACGAGCGCAACCCUCGUUCUAUGUUGCCAGCGCGUUAUGGCGGGGACUCAUAGGAGACUGCCGGGGUCAACUCGGAGGAAGGUGGGGACGACGUCAAAUCAUCAUGCCCCUUAUGUCUUGGGCUUCACGCAUGCUACAAUGGCCGGUACAAAGGGUUGCGAUACUGUGAGGUGGAGCUAAUCCCAAAAAGCCGGUCUCAGUUCGGAUUGGGGUCUGCAACUCGACCCCAUGAAGUCGGAGUCGCUAGUAAUCGCAGAUCAGCAACGCUGCGGUGAAUACGUUCCCGGGCCUUGUACACACCGCCCGUCAAGUCACGAAAGUU
rnacentral:rRNA from 1 species